UCGGUGGAGUUAAUGCAAAGCUGAGUUGCUGCACGUUGGCUUUCUUCAGAGAUGGCUUCAGCUGGUGUAGCCCCAUCUGGGUACAAAAACAGCAGCAGCACUAGCAUUGGUGCCGAGAAGUUGCAAGAUCAGAUGAACGAGCUAAAGAUUAGAGAUGAUAAGGAAGUUGAAGCAACCAUAAUUAAUGGGAAAGGGACUGAAACUGGGCACAUAAUUGUCACCACUAUGGCAAGAAUGGUCAACCAAAACAGACAGUGAGCUACAUGGCUGAGCGCAUUGUAGGUCAAGGUUCUUUUGGGAUUGUCUUCCAGGCUAAGUGUUUGGAGACGAGUGAGACUGUUGCCAUAAAGAAGGUUCUUCAGGAUAAGCGUUACAAGAACC